rnacentral:rRNA from 1 species
UACGAAGGGGGCUAGCGUUGUUCGGAAUUACUGGGCGUAAAGGGCGCGUAGGCGGUCCUGAUCGUCGGAUGUGAAAGGCCUGGGCUCAACCUGGGAACUGCAUCCGAUACGGCGGGACUGGAGUGUGGGAGAGGAUGGUGGAAUUCCCAGUGUAGAGGUGAAAUUCGUAGAUAUUGGGAAGAACACCGGUGGCGAAGGCGGCCAUCUGGACCACAACUGACGCUGAGGCGCGAAAGCGUGGGGAGCAAACAGG